AUUAGAGUUUGAUCAUGGCUCAGAUUGAACGCUGGCGGCAGGCCUAACACAUGCAAGUCGAACGGUAGCACAGAGAGCUUGCUCUCGGGUGACGAGUGGCGGACGGGUGAGUAAUGUCUGGGAAACUGCCUGAUGGAGGGGGAUAACUACUGGAAACGGUAGCUAAUACCGCAUAACGUCGCAAGACCAAAGAGGGGGACCUUCGGGCCUCUUGCCAUCAGAUGUGCCCAGAUGGGAUUAGCUAGUAGGUGGGGUAAUGGCUCACCUAGGCGACGAUCCCUAGCUGGUCUGAGAGGAUGACCAGCCACACUGGAACUGAGACACGGUCCAGACUCCUACGGGAGGCAGCAGUGGGGAAUAUUGCACAAUGGGCGCAAGCCUGAUGCAGCCAUGCCGCGUGUAUGAAGAAGGCCUUCGGGUUGUAAAGUACUUUCAGCGGGGAGGAAGGUGUUGUGGUUAAUAACCGCAGCAAUUGACGUUACCCGCAGAAGAAGCACCGGCUAACUCCGUGCCAGCAGCCGCGGUAAUACGGAGGGUGCAAGCGUUAAUCGGAAUUACUGGGCGUAAAGCGCACGCAGGCGGUCUGUCAAGUCGGAUGUGAAAUCCCCGGGCUCAACCUGGGAACUGCAUUCGAAACUGGCAGGCUAGAGUCUUGUAGAGGGGGGUAGAAUUCCAGGUGUAGCGGUGAAAUGCGUAGAGAUCUGGAGGAAUACCGGUGGCGAAGGCGGCCCCCUGGACAAAGACUGACGCUCAGGUGCGAAAGCGUGGGGAGCAAACAGGAUUAGAUACCCUGGUAGUGCACGCCGUAAACGAUGUCGACUUGGAGGUUGUGCCCUUGAGGCGUGGCUUCCGGAGCUAACGCGUUAAGUCGACCGCCUGGGGAGUACGGCCGCAAGGUUAAAACUCAAAUGAAUUGACGGGGGCCCGCACAAGCGGUGGAGCAUGUGGUUUAAUUCGAUGCAACGCGAAGAACCUUACCUACUCUUGACAUCCAGAGAACUUUCCAGAGAUGGAUUGGUGCCUUCGGGAACUCUGAGACAGGUGCUGCAUGGCUGUCGUCAGCUCGUGUUGUGAAAUGUUGGGUUAAGUCCCGCAACGAGCGCAACCCUUAUCCUUUGUUGCCAGCGGUCCGGCCGGGAACUCAAAGGAGACUGCCAGUGAUAAACUGGAGGAAGGUGGGGAUGACGUCAAGUCAUCAUGGCCCUUACGAGUAGGGCUACACACGUGCUACAAUGGCGCAUACAAAGAGAAGCGACCUCGCGAGAGCAAGCGGACCUCAUAAAGUGCGUCGUAGUCCGGAUUGGAGUCUGCAACUCGACUCCAUGAAGUCGGAAUCGCUAGUAAUCGUAGAUCAGAAUGCUACGGUGAAUACGUUCCCGGGCCUUGUACACACCGCCCGUCACACCAUGGGAGUGGGUUGCAAAAGAAGUAGGUAGCUUAACCUUCGGGAGGGCGCUUACCACUUUGUGAUUCAUGACUGGGGUGAAGUCGUAACAAGGUAACCGUAGAAUC
rnacentral:rRNA from 1 species